rnacentral:lncRNA from 1 species
UGGGAUGCAGGAUGUGCAAGUGGGCUUGAAGGGUUAGCAUUUGUAGAUUGAGGUUGUUGUGAAUAUUGAGAAAACUGAGACGGGGUUUGAUACUGUUGUGGUGGAGCUGGGGGCGCCUGCGCCUGUGGAACUGGAGGGGCUUGAUACUGCUGUGGUGGAGCUGGAGGUGCAUGUGCCUGUGGAACUGGAGGGGCUUGAUACUGCUGUGGUGGAGCUGGAGGUGCCUGUGGCUGUGGAACUGGAGGGGCUUGAUACUGUUGUUGUGGUGCAGGAGGCGCCUGUGGCUGUGGAACUGGAGGUGCUUGAUACUGCUGAUGAAUGGCUUCAGUUGGCUGGGCAGAUGGUGUGUAGUAGGGUUCCUGUGGUAAAGCUGGUACAGAGGGAGCCGAUGAAUGGCCUAGGAACUGUGCUGGAGGCUGACUUUGAAGCGUUGGAGGUGGAGGCGGCGCGUUAGGAGCAGGAAGGGCAGGAAAAGUUUGGGGUUGAUGUUGCGGCGGAACCCCUGCCUGCUGCGGAGCAACUGACUGGUGCAGCG